UGAACCUCAGCCAUUCUCGCUCUUUUGGGUUAAACUUCAAGGCGGAAGAGGGUUAUGUCCGUGUGCUACGCUUGGAGUGGACCUGAGCACCGAGUGAAGCUGAGGGGGUCGCCCAAACCCGUAGGCCGGCGUAGCCCCGGGGCCAGCCUCGGCCUGAGCGCCAUCGUGGUCCUCGGCACUGUAACAUGCUCCUUUCGCGCUCCCCUCCCCAGUUCCGGCGGGGAAGUCCGAACCUCCAGACCUGCAGCUCCCUACAGUGCCGUUGGUGGGCUGGUUGGAGACCUUGAAUGUGAACCAGCGUCAGUCAGUCCAGGUGCCUGGUGGUAAGUAAGGCUGGAGCAGUCCUGUGAGAAGCAAAUCAUCUUUUCAUACAUCUUUCAUCCCAAGAUGUAACCCAGACAUGGUGUGACUUAACCUGAGACUAACAGUCCACAUCUACCCGAAGUGCUUAGCAAUAAAGCAAACGUGGUAUGAGUUGA